rnacentral:tRNA from 1 species
CAGGGUGUAGCUCAUGGGUAGAGCACUUGCCUGGCAUGCGCAAGGUCCUGGGUUCAAUACCUAGUACCAUCA